CGGUCGUGCAGACCGGCAUGGGCUGGGUCGCGGGCCCCCGGCUCGUCUCGGCCGUGGCCGAGGCCGGGGCGCUGGGCAUCCUCGGCUCGGCGACCAU
rnacentral:tRNA from 1 species